rnacentral:rRNA from 1 species
CCUACGGGAGGCAGCAGUAGGGAAUCUUCCACAAUGGGCGAAAGCCUGAUGGAGCAACGCCGCGUGGGUGAAGAAGGUCUUCGGAUCGUAAAACCCUGUUGUUAGAGAAGAAAGUGCGUGCGAGUAACUGUUCACGUUUCGACGGUAUCUAACCAGAAAGCCACGGCUAACUACGUGCCAGCAGCCGCGGUAAUACGUAGGUGGCAAGCGUUAUCCGGAUUGAUUGGGCGUAAAGGGAACGCAGGCGGUCUUUUAAGUCUGAUGUGAAAGCCUUCGGCUUAACCGGAGUAGGGCAUUGGAAACUGGGAGACUUGAGUGCAGAAGAGGAGAGUGGAACUCCAUGUGUAGCGGUGAAAUGCGUAGAGAUAUGGAAGAACACCAGUGGCGAAAGCGGCUCUCUGGUCUGUAACUGACGCUGAGGUUCGAAAGCGUGGGUAGCAAACAGGAUUAGAUACCCUAGUAGUC